CAGUGCGCGGUAAUACAGAGGGUGCGAGCGUUAAUCGGAAUUACUGGGCGUAAAGCGUGCGCAGGCGGUUAUAUAAGACAGAUGUGAAAUCCCCGGGCUCAACCUGGGAACUGCAUUUGUGACUGUAUAGCUAGAGUACGGCAGAGGGGGAUGGAAUUCCGCGUGUAGCAGUGAAAUGCGUAGAUAUGCGGAGGAACACCGAUGGCGAAGGCAAUCCCCUGGGCCUGUACUGACGCUCAUGCACGAAAGCGUGGGGAGCAAACAGGAUUAGAUACCCGGGUAGUCCCUGUCUCUUAUACAC
rnacentral:rRNA from 1 species